GUCACCAUAAGCUUUUGAUAGGGCUUUUGUCUUUCCCUUUCUCAUACAUUUUUCUGUCCUAGAGAAAGUGGGAGAUUUAAAAAUUAUGUAUUCUGUCUUUGCUUGGGUACUGUGAAGUCAGGUAUAUUUGUAGAGUUGGGUUAGCGAGGUAGUGACAAUUUCCUUUUAAAGAUGUAUAUCUUCUUUCUCCCCAAUUCUUUCCAAAGAAAUUACUGAUGCUGAGGAAGAUCCUGAGGAUAAAGCAACAAACGCAGUCUGGAACCAGUGACAUUAAAGACCUGAACCCUGCACCUCAUCUUGGGACAAUUCUAAGGGCUACCUGAGUUCCACAUAUUAUCAAGGACUCAGCUGAAUCUUUUGAUGGAAAACUUGAGACCAGCGUCAGAGCUAGACAAGGGCCAUGGAGGGCCAAGGUCAUGGCAGAGCCUCAAUUGUCUCCACAGGGAGCGGUUAUGGACAACCUAAGAGUCUUGCUCUGUUGCCUAGGCUGAAGUGAAGUAGUGUGAUCUCGGCUCGCCACAACCUCUGCCUCCCAGGUUCAAGCGAUUCUCCUGCCUCAGCCUCCCGAGUAGCUGGAACUAUAGGUCAUCUAGGGGAAAACAGAAGUAUGAGGAUUGAGACUUCUUCUGAAAAUCAGUGAGUGGCUCUCUGCAGUGGUUACAGAAAUGCCCCAGCAUGGACUCCCUCCUGUAAACUGGCUCUGCUGUCCCAGCAGUGACGGAAAGCACUCAAUUUGUUUUCUCUUGGAAGAGACAGAGUGGCUGUCAGUUUACUGCAAUAUUUUGGACUGCCUGGAAAAUUCAAUGUACAACAGGAGAAAGGAGAGGCAGGAGACAGACUCUGGAAUAGAAGUCAAAGACAAAGAGGCUCGUAAA
rnacentral:lncRNA from 10 species